AACAAUAAAAAAGCCGCCAAGCAAUAUAUGAUUUUCCCCUGGAGAGAGCAAAAGAAAUCUCAGACAAGACAUUCCAACAGCAGUGCAUCGCUGAAUGAUUAAAUCAGCAAUUAUACUGAAUAUGGCUGCUUGCUACAUGCCCCUUACUGUGAACAAAAAUGAAUUCACAUUUGAUCAAGGCUGCAUGUUUGCUUGCUGGCAUCAGUCGAGUUAAGCUAUUAUCGUUAAAGUCUUGCAGAGAAAUCGGAAUGGGAAGUCCAUCAUAAAAGAGCGUUAUCACCCCCUGAAUCCAUCUUUUCAGGCUCCUCCAUUAUGCGGUCAUAUCUGAGCAGACGCUUUCAGCUAAAAAAAAGAACAUAUGGAAACUUUGUGAAAACCAUGUUGAAUAAGGCUGAACAUAUUGCUGGUAUGCUUUUAACCUAACAUAGCAUCCGUCUCUGUUUUAGCCUGUGUUUGUGUUGAAGACUCAAAGUUUCCUGGUGUUGUGUUUUAAUUUUUUUCUCAUGUUUGUUUCGUUAAAAAAAAAAAGGAUUUUGCUGACUUUGGUUACACUGAGAAAUUUUCUGAAAGUUCUUUGUAAGAUCUGACGUCAUCACGUGUGACAUCCUGAACAAACAGAAAGACAACAUGGAUUCACUUUGUUGCAUUAUUUUACUGCUUGUUUUUAUUCCAUUCUGACAUUAUUGUUAAGCUGCUUGUUGCUGAUUUUAUUUAGUUGCAUAUUUCUCAUUUCUACAGGUACUCCUGCUUCAUGUUAACCGCCUACUCUGUGUUAGCACAACGGAGGAUGGUUAUCAGUCUGAGAAGAUGACUUCCACUGAAACAGAUUAUAUGGCUGAUAGUGUUGCAGCUCCCGUGUGAAUGAGCAGAAAAGGCGGAUAAAAAGCGAUACUUGACCGAGGCCCUGUCCAUAUCAACGAGACUCUUUUUACAGCAUUGUAGCAUUUAGGACAGAAUAUUUACUGAUAUAUAUCUAGUAUUUGCUGUUGGAUGUACUGUUAAAAUGAACAAUCUCUGCCAAAUUUACCAUCUGUGUAAGAGCAAAAACAAAACCAAUUUAUUUGUAUACCAUGCUAAAUAAAUUCAGACAGUAAGAGGUUACAGUAGAAAUAUAAAAACACAACAGUUUAAGAUUUAAAACCCAGGCAUUGUUUAAUGGAUUUGCAUUGUUGGUUUCUUAAGACAGAGUGAAAAGCUUCAGUGAAACAAGUUGGAGGGCGGUCCAAGCAGAGGGAGCAGAGAAGCUGAAGGCUUUCUUUCCUGUUUCAGUUUGAGCAAGAGGAGCGGAGAAAUACAAAAUGUCAUUUGAUCAUAAGACAAAUCUGCACUGCGUCAACCUCUGCACUACUUUCCUGAAGUGAAGAGGAUCAGAGCUGCUUUGAUCAGAGCUGGAAAACUGAGGAGGAACAGAUGGGCUGGUCCCACCAAGCACAGCCAGGUGUGAUCAGAGGACUUCUCAGCAAACUGCUUCAAACAAGAAACCUCUGAAUUCACCAGAGAAAUGAUGUCAGAGGUCAGAUAUCUGACAGAUGAAGAAGAAAGUUGAAGCAGAGUCUAAAGCCUCGCUGUUCAGAGCAUCUGAUGGGAAAAGAUCUCCAAUAAAAGAUUGUUUUUGCUGUUGCUAAACGGAUCAAGGCUCAGCAGACCCUGAACCAACAGAUCCUGUUACAGAAAUGAGUCCACAGCUCUGCAGAGACCGAGCCUAAACCAGUCGACUUCUUCCCACCAGCAUCCUGACAGCUCUCCUCACGCUAUGCUGGGAUAGGGGCAGAUGGAGGAAAACACUCCAGCAGCUUAAAAGCCCAUUCAGCUUAACUCAAAUUUCCCCUUGGAUAUGAUACCGCAUCGUGAUAGCAAAGGGAAUGUGGGAAAGAUAGUGUAA